rnacentral:rRNA from 1 species
UACGAAGGGGGCUAGCGUUGUUCGGAUUUACUGGGCGUAAAGCGCACGUAGGCGGCUCCAAAAGUCAGGGGUGAAAUCCGGCAGCUUAACUGUCGCAGUGCCUUUGAUACUGUGGAGCUAGAGGGAGGUAGGGGUCUGUGGAACUUCCGGUGGAGCGGUGAAAUGCGUUGAUAUCGGAAGGAACGCCGGUGGCGAAAGCGACGGACUGGAUCUCUUCUGACGCUGAGGCGCGAAAGCCAGGGGAGCAAACGGG